rnacentral:rRNA from 1 species
UACGUAGGGGGCUAGCGUUGUCCGGAAUUAUUGGGCGUAAAGAGCGUGUAGGCGGUUCGAUAAGUCUGCUGUAAAAGUCGGGGGCUCAACCCUCGAAGGCCGGUGGAUACUGUCGAGCUAGAGUACGGAAGAGGCGAGUGGAAUUCCUGGUGUAGCGGUGAAAUGCGCAGAUAUCAGGAAGAACACCCGUGGCGAAGGCGGCUCUCUGGUACGUGACUGACGCUGAGACGCGAAAGCGUGGGGAGCAAAGCAGG